rnacentral:misc_RNA from 1 species
GAAAUGCGAAAAGUAAUGUGAAUUGCAGAAUUCAGUGAAUCAUCGAAUCUUUGAACGCACAUUGCGCCCCCUGGCAUUCCGGGGGGCAUGCCUGUUCGAGCGUCAUUUCAACCCUCAAGCUCUGCUUGGUAUUGGGCGUCGCGGGGCGAGUCCCGGCGUGCCUCAAAAAAAUCGGCGGUGGUGCCCUUCUCUAAGCGUGGUAAGUCUUAUUCGCUUCUGAGUUGGGGCCUCACCCGCCGGGCAAAACGGGCUCCGGCCCAACUUCUCAGGUUGACCUCGGAUCAGGUAGGGAUACCCGCUGAACUUAA